rnacentral:misc_RNA from 1 species
CGCACAUUGCGCCCUUUGGUAUUCCGAAGGGCAUGCCUGUUCGAGCGUCAUUAUCACCCCUCAAGCCCCCGGGUUUGGUGUUGGACGGCGGUGGCGCGAGCCACCCCUCCGCAAGACAAUGACGGCGGCCUCGUGGGACCCCCGGUACACCGAGCUUUCGAGCACGUACCGGAUCCGGGUGCCCGGGACGCGGUCCUUUUAUCCCCUCGCGGGACAACUUCUAGGUUGACCUCGGAUCAGGUAGGAAUACCCGCUGAACUUAA